GUUGUAUUGAUGUAUUUUAGCAUAUAAACUUUUCGUGUUUAAUGAGGCUUUUAGCCAUAUAAUU
rnacentral:tRNA from 1 species